rnacentral:misc_RNA from 1 species
AAACUGCGAUAAGUAGUGUGAAUUGCAUUUAGUGAAUCAUCGAAUCUUUGAACGCACCCUGCACUCACUGGUAUUCCGGUGAGUACGCCUGUUUCAGUAUCAUUGAAAACACACAAUCAAAACAUUUUCUUUGGUUUGAUUGGCUUUGGGUCUAUCAAAAAGUUUGGCUUGUUUCUUACAAGCCAAGCGGCCUGAAAUAUAUUGUCUGGCUAAUUGCAUCGUUGAUGAUCGCUAUUAAACUUUGGCUUUUUUAAAUGAACUGGAGGUUGAUUAACCAGUUUUAGCUUUAGUCAAAUGGUCAUUGUAAAAAAAAUCUCGAUCUUGGCUAGGUGUUUAUAGCCGAAAAUUUUUUUUUGGCUAUAACCGAAACCAAUAUAAUCACAUUUAGUUAUCGAUCUGAAAUCAGGUGGGACUACCCGCUGAACUUAAGC